GGACACCCCAGGUUGACUCAGGACACUGCAGGCUGAGUCAGGACACCCCAGACUUACUCAGGUCACACCAGGCUGACACAGGACAACCCAAGAUGUCUCAGGACACCCCAGGAUGACACAGGAUACCUGAGGCUGGCAUAGGAGAGACCAGCCUGGCACAGGACACCCCACGCUGACACAUGACACCCCAGGAUGUCUCAGGAUUCCCCAGAUGGCUCAGGACAUCCCAGGCUGACUCAGGAUACCCAAGGAUGACUCAGGACACCCCAGGAAGUCAAAGGACACCCCAGCAUGACUCAGGACAACCCAGGAUGACACAUGAUACCCCAGGAUGUCUCAGGACACCCCAGCCUUACACAGGACACCCCAGGAUGACUCAGGAUUCCCCAGGAUGGCUCAGGAAAUCUUAGGAUGGCUCAGGAUACCCAAGGCUGUCCUAGGAUACCCCAGGGUGGCACAGGACACCCCAGGAAGACACAGGACACCGCAAGAUGACUCAGGACAUCCCAGGCUGACAGAGUGUACCCCAGGAUGAAACAUGACACUCCAGGAGGAGACAGGACACGCCAGCCUGACUUAGGACACCGCAGCAUGACACAAACACCCCAGGGUGAUUAAGGACAUCUCAGGAUGACACAGGAC
rnacentral:lncRNA from 1 species